rnacentral:lncRNA from 1 species
ACUAAUUGAAAAAAUACACCUAAAAAUCUACUCCUAUAUAAUAAUACCUACACCAAAAAAAUAUCUUCUACACAAAGAGACCCUAGCAAAGAAUCCGUCAUUCUUCUUAAGACUAUCAGCGGAAAUACCACCUGAAAAGGCCUAAGACCAAAGAGACCUCAAACAAUGGAGAAGCCGACGUUUUGGACCUUGAAACCCCCUUCCCCACAUCGUUCUGCUUGAGAAAAAAGACCAUCGAUUAGCAACUUCUCUGGUUGAUUUUGAGAGGAUCGUUCAAACACCCUUGUGAACACACAUCAUUUUUAGACCUUUUUAUCCAUCGAGACUACCCAAAAUCAUACAGAUAUGUAAUCCAAAAACAGAGACGUUUCUAUUUCUUCUCCUUGACUUCGAUUUUGAUUUUUUGAUUUCAAAUUCAUGGAGUUCACCUGAAUUCAAAACUGUUUUGUGUUCGGGUUGUGCGAAGAUCAUUGGUGAGGUUCGAGUCUGCGGAUCCGUAUUCGGGUUUUUGUUGUCGUUGUGGUUUCUGAUCCGAAUCUGUUUGCAACCUUUGUGCUUGCCGUUACCACACUACCAAUUUGGGGAAUCGAGGUUCCGUUCGCUUUGGUCAUAGUUCAUUUCGCACCUGAAUCUGAAUGUUUGCAUCAUAUGUAUCGAAGAACAUUUUCCAUAUGUGAAGGUCCGAUAUUUUAACUUUCUCACCUAUUUCCUCUUUAAACCGGCUGCAAUAAUAGUUACUUUGGCUUGAUUUUUUUUUUUCUGGUUUGGAUUUUGUGUUUAUGUAUAGUUGGAUUAUUUGUUAUGUUCUUGGCUAGUUUUUACGUGAAAUGUGUCCAUGUAAUCACAUUAAGUUUAGUUCGUUUGCCAAUGUUGUUCAUGAGAAUGUGAUGUCAUUAUUUUAUUUAGGAAAAUGUUGUUAAGAGUUGAGACAAAUAAUUACGUUGAAAAUAAGGAAGAUUAAUAUUGUGAUUAUUAUUACUAGAGCUAGUAGCUGGAAGUCACUGGCCAGCUAUGCCAAUUUCUUGUUGUGUAGUGUUAAAUGAAUAGUUUGGUUGUAUAUCCAGGGUUAAUUAAUUAUAUAAUGAGUAGAUACAGAUUUGUUUCUUAUCAAU